ACAGAGAAUGUUUUUCACUGAUCAGCAAUUGAAGUCAGUAAUAUUAAGGAGUUUGUUGCUUUUUUCUUUAUGUUGGACAGACUACAGAGUGAACAGAUCCAUACUUCUAUCUGCAGAAUAUUUUUAUUUUCAAGAUAUGAAACAGUUUCAGAGACACUGAAGCAAAUCAGAAAGAAACUUGCAACAUAUUCUUCUCCUUAGUUUAUGGAACACAGCCUAUGCAAAGGAGAGCAAUAACAGCAAUAAUAUCCAGGGUAAAUGAAAUGAGCAGUGCAUGGCUAGUUUACAAAGACACUAUAGAACUAUAAAUGUAACUACAAAAGAGUAAGUAAAAUUCC
rnacentral:lncRNA from 1 species